rnacentral:rRNA from 1 species
CCUACGGGCGGCAGCAGUGAGGAAUAUUGGUCAAUGGACGAGAGUCUGAACCAGCCAAGUAGCGUGAAGGAUGACUGCCCUAUGGGUUGUAAACUUCUUUUAUAAAGGAAUAAAACGAGGCACGUGUGCCUUUUUGCAUGUACUUUAUGAAUAAGGAUCGGCUAACUCCGUGCCAGCAGCCGCGGUAAUACGGAGGAUCCGAGCGUUAUCCGGAUUUAUUGGGUUUAAAGGGAGCGUAGAUGGGUUGUUAAGUCAGUUGUGAAAGUUUGCGGCUCAACCGUAAAAUUGCAAUUGAUACUGGCAGUCUUGAGUACAGUUGAGGUAGGCGGAAUUCGUGGUGUAGCGGUGAAAUGCGUAGAUAUCACGAAGAACCCCGAUUGCGAAGGCAGCUUACUAAACUGUGACUGACAUUGAUGCUCGAAAGUGUGGGGAUCAAACAGGAUUAGAUACCCUUGUAGUC